AUUGGUUACAGUCAGAGGGUCCAGAGUUACAUGUAAGGUGUGCAUAGGUUAACUUAUCACAACAUUCUAAGGGUCAGCCUCCCAGACCACCCACUCCAGCCCCCUUGGUUAUCUAGUCUCUGCCCACUGCAGCUGUGUGUGGGGUGCUCAGUUGUUUACAUCUCGAUUUCCUAGCCUCGCUGGGAACCAAGGACGUUCUCAGCGCAAGUUACCCAUGUUUAUGACUUUAUGUCCUCGACUGGUGAGAAAUUCUUCCACAUUGGGCAAAGGAGACAAAUAACCCAUCCUUUUGCUUACACUUAUCAGCAGCCACAGACCCAUUUAAAACAUGCCUGAUAGGGUUGCCAUUUGAUGAUCAACGCACUUUGGUAGCCUCCUUUUCAUCUCUCACACAUCAAGAUUGUUCUACAGCAAAAAGUAUAAGGCAUUGUAUGGCAUUAAUAGUUGCAAGCCUCAAUGACCCUUUACCAUGGGACCCUCAAGAGUUCAACCUGUUAGGAAGUAGAAUGCCAAAUCAGUCAGGAUGUCUGAUAUUUGGCUCGCACAAUCUGACGAAUCGUCAAAUAACAGAUCUAACACCCUAUCAUUUUCCUUAUUGGAGUACCUCUGAUUUUUGUGCUAAAGACACGGUUUAUGGUUGGAACACAAAUGGUAUGUGCCUUAACAUUACCAAAGCCUUAAGAUUGCCUAGAAAAGUGUUCCUGAUCUGUGGUAGAAGAGCGUGGCCUGGAAUCCCAAAAGAAAGUAACGGAGGGCCAUGUUACAUUGGUCACCUUUCUUUGCUAACUCCUUCUUCAGAAUUUAUCCGAAAUCAUAUUGCAAGUAGUGCAACUCUAUUAAGAAAUCGUAGAAAUGUAGAAAUGUUAACCUCUGAUUGUAAUGAUGAAGUGGAACUUUGGUCUCAUAUAGCAAGAGUUUUUGGAGCAUUGUUUCCUCCUAUAGGAACAGCACAUGCCUUGUCAGCCAUUCAGAGAUUAGCAUGUUGGACAGCAAAACAAGCUAAUGUUACUACUAGUGUUAUUUCUCAGCUUGCAGUAGAUCAAAAUAGUUUGCGAAAGGCUACCCUGCAAAAUAGAGCAGCUAUAGAUUACUUGCUUUUAGUACAAGGAAAAGGCUGUGAAGAUGUAGAAGGAAUGUGUUGUUUUAACUUGUCUGAUCAUAGUGAUUCAAUCCAUAAAAAGGUAGACUGGCUUCAGCAUCAUACAGAGAAAAUUACAACGAAUCAUAACCCCUUUGAUGAUUGGCUAAUGUCAUGGGGAAUUUCAGCUUGGGCAAAAGAGUUAAUCAAAACUGUAGGAAUAGUAUUGCUUAUUGUUAUUGUUUUAUUAUUCUUAGGACCCUGCAUCUUCCGAUGUCUAUCCUGGCAGAUGCAUCGGAUCGCUGCUGCAGUGUUUGAAAAGAAAGGGGGAGAUGUGGGGAAUUUUGUAGGGGCUGUUGCUUUGCAAUCAAUAUGUAGGCGAUUGGAACACAGCGGGUAAGACACCGGUCAGCCCAAGGACACUGUGUCCGCUUCGUGCUUUCUAUGAAAAAAAGCAGGGUUGGCCUGAGGAUGUUGCGUCCUUGUGGUACAGCUGUGCAAAGUAAAACAAAGUAAUGAAUCAGUCAUGAAUAUACCUUAGAACAAAGGAUCUGCACAUCUGGAAAUGUAGGGUUUGAUAUAUGAGCACACGUACUGCUUAUAAAAAUACCUUUUUGUAUCUACUAAUGAUUAUGCUUUAAACCACAAAAAUGUAUUGCAUGGACCAAUUAGAAAUCGACAUGUAAUCCUGUAAUAGUAUAAAAAGCCUUCUGAUUUGUGUAUUAAACGUCUUACAUUUACAAUCCA